rnacentral:rRNA from 1 species
CAGUCGCCACGGGAACACGGAGGGUGCAAGCGUUAAUCGGAAUUACUGGGCGUAAAGCGCACGCAGGCGGUUUGUUAAGUCAGAUGUGAAAUCCCCGAGCUUAACUUGGGAACUGCAUUUGAAACUGGCAAGCUAGAGUCUUGUAGAGGGGGGUAGAAUUCCAGGUGUAGCGGUGAAAUGCGUAGAGAUCUGGAGGAAUACCGGUGGCGAAGGCGGCCCCCUGGACAAAGACUGACGCUCAGGUGCGAAAGCGUGGGGAGCAAACAGGAUUAGAUACCCCGGUAGUCCCUGUCUCUUAUAC